rnacentral:lncRNA from 1 species
CUCGUGAAUUUACGUUAUGGAGAAUGGAAGAUAUGAUCUAGACAUUAAUGGCUUUUGCAAUAAGGUGGAAUGCAUAAUAUUAGACAAUAUUACAUAACAGAAAGAUGCUAAAAUCAUGUCCACUGUGCUGUAAGACCCUAUGCAGUAAUGCUUACCAAACAUGCCAAAGUAAUUGAUAUCCUUAUUCAAGCAUUAUGAUCAUUUAGCUAAUUUAAUUACCCAAAGGAUAACUGAUCUUAAAUAUAAUGAGCUCUCUUUAUGAACUUCAAAACAAUUAAUCUCAGAUGAUGCUGGUCAAAUUUAUAUAUCAUAAUUCAUAAUAUGUUAUUGAUAUCAAAAUCCACUACAACUACAUCCGCACCAAAAACCUAUUAUAUAUAAUGGCCCAAUUUAUGAACUAGAAAUGCUCUAACUUACAAUCAAUUAAAGCACGAGGUACCAAAACAAACCUUUUAGGAUCCACCGGUAGUAUUUCUACUUCAAAAUUUUUAAGGCUAUUGAUAAACCACCUUCUCCAUUGUUACGAAUUCCUCUAUCUACCACAACAAUAGGUAUUCUACUUCGUCUCCUCCAAUUCAGUGUAGCAAGGGAUUCCAUCCUUACUACAAAACGAGCUGCUCUCAGCUUCAGCUUUUGGCUUUAACCUAGUCAUAUGGGAGCUCUGGUCCAAGAAGUAAUUUGAGAGAUCUUUCAUCCACUUAGGCUGUUGAAUAAUAAACAUUACCUCAUCUCUGGCCUUGGUUGAGGGCUUCUCUAGAAAUUCCAUUAGAAUUACCUUCCACAACUCGGAAUCUAUGUUAUCUGCUAGGUUGGACUGAGCAUCGGUGCUUCUGUUAUCUACUAGAGAGACUUGAAGGAUUUCAAACUUGUCAAGAUAUUUUUCAGGGCUAAGAUCCCAUCCAUCCAAGUCACUAGCAUCUGGGAGUCAUUAUUAACUUGUACCUAUUUUAUUUUUAUCUCCUUUCACCAAUUAUAGAUCAACUAUAAACUCUGCGUACUCUGCUACAUUAUUAAGGCUUGGAAAUCGAAUCUUAGGGUGCAAGUCAGAUGAUGUCCCUCUGGAAUCAUUAGGAUCGUCCCUGCUCUCGAUCUUGUCUUUCCAGAUGAGUUGUCAAAAAUUAGCUUCCAUAUCCUCUGAGCAUUGACCCAGGGUCUUCGACAUCUUUAGGAAAGAUAGGUCCCUCAGUAAAUAAUGCAAGAAAUUCUGCUAAUGCCUGACCCUUGGUAGUCGUUCACAGUUGAAAUUGGAUUUCAAAUAGACUUCAAAUAGACUUAGCUCAAUUGUCCACUUCAUCGACUUUUAUAAAGAGUUGGGCUUUGAAAAACCUUGACAUAACAAAUAAUUAGUUAAUAACUCAAUGGUAUAAGCCUUAAAAUAUGGCCUUACUCUCAUAAACUUUGUUAUCAAUGUAAGAGGGAAAUUUUCUCUGUCUGAUAUCUUGU